GCUGUAGGUGUUGAUUCUCACUUCAGCAAAGCAAACGUUAGCUAGUGACUGAAUAACUACAAGACCAUGCAGUGGAACGACUCUUACGCUGAAGAUGUUAACAGUCCUCUAAGCAGCGAUGGUGAAGAUAUAUACGAAAAUCCAGAAGACCUCCAGGACCUGUUAUCACCGCAUACUAGUGAUGAUCUGCAGUACUCUACAAAGAUAUUGACUAAUCGGAGAAGAAAGCAGAAACAGAGAAAAAAGAUCAAGUGUAGUCUGAUAGCUUUUGCAAUCGUCGUAGCCACUCUAGCAGUAUGUGUAGUAGCUCAGAGUAUCACCUUAGCUCUACUUGUAGAGAGAAUAGAUGGUCAAAUUAUAGAGCUCAACAGUCAAGUAGUGCACCAAAACAUUUCUCUGUCUAGUAUACUCGCACGUCAACAAGAUUUUCUUCUCAAGAAUAUGCAAGAGCAAUUUAACUCGCUCGAUCAAAAGCGUCCUAACUGCACUUCAGAGGAGAGAGAGUGCUCCAUAGAUAUAAGUGGUCAUGCAUUCACAGAGUACUAUUGGUCUCAUUGCAACACUGAUCUGGUCUACAUCAAUACCACUACUCAUUUGCUAGCAGGCAACAGCUGCAUACUGAAGGGAACCUGGCGCGGACUAGAAGUGGCUACGAUGGAAGUAUUCAAGAACUCUACAGGGAGGUACAUGUACUGCAGGUGCUUCAUAUCAGACCCAGUUACAAACGGUACUUUCAACCGACUUCCGUGGAGAUAUUUUGAGCCAAACACUAACUGUUAUUUAAAACUGUCCAUAUGCCGUCUUUAAUGCUAUUGUAUAGUUAUUGCACACAGUAAGUAUGUUGAAAGUAUUAACGUACUUUUCUUGGUCUUGA